AGCGAACGCUGGCGGCAGGCCUAACACAUGCAAGUCGAACGAACUCUUCGGAGUUAGUGGCGGACGGGUGAGUAACACGUGGGAACGUGCCUUUUGGUUCGGAAUAACUCAGGGAAACUUGUGCUAAUACCGAAUGUGCCCUUCGGGGGAAAGAUUUAUCGCCAUUAGAGCGGCCCGCGUAUGAUUAGCUAGUUGGUGAGGUAACGGCUCACCAAGGCGACGAUCAGUAGCUGGUCUGAGAGGAUGACCAGCCACACUGGGACUGAGACACGGCCCAGACUCCUACGGGAGGCAGCAGUGGGGAAUCUUGCGCAAUGGGCGAAAGCCUGACGCAGCCAUGCCGCGUGAAUGAUGAAGGUCUUAGGAUUGUAAAAUUCUUUCACCGGGGACGAUAAUGACGGUACCCGGAGAAGAAGCCCCGGCUAACUUCGUG
rnacentral:rRNA from 1 species